AUGCAGGUGCAGCUGGACAUUCUCCUGAGCUAAAAGCAUAUUCAUUUAGUCCCGUCAAACGGAUUAUUACUUUUGCUGCAGCUAAUAUAAAGGGAGUUUGACCAUUUUGGCUGACUGAUGCAGGAUUUUCACAAGAGUCUUCAAAACACUUUCUUGUUAAACUCGAUCUCAAAUCAAGUAAGACUACCCGCUGAACUUAA
rnacentral:misc_RNA from 1 species